CCUACGGGUGGCAGCAGUGGGGAAUAUUGCACAAUGGGGGAAACCCUGAUGCAGCGACGCCGCGUGAGUGAAGAAGUAUUUCGGUACGUAAAGCUCUAUCAGCAGGGAAGAAAAUGACGGUACCUGACUAAGAAGCCCCGGCUAACUACGUGCCAGCAGCCGCGGUAAUACGUAGGGGGCAAGCGUUAUCCGGAUUUACUGGGUGUAAAGGGAGCGUAGACGGCAGCGCAAGUCUGAAGUGAAAUCCCAUGGCUUAACCAUGGAACUGCUUUGGAAACUGUGCAGCUGGAGUGCAGGAGAGGUAAGCGGAAUUCCUAGUGUAGCGGUGAAAUGCGUAGAUAUCACGAAGAACUCCGAUUGCGAAGGCAGCUCACUGGACUGCAACUGACACUGAUGCUCGAAAGUGUGGGUAUCAAACAGGAUUAGAUACCCCAGUAGUC
rnacentral:rRNA from 1 species